GGAACUUAUUUUAGCAGGUUCAUUUGCCUCAGUGGGGAAUACAGGACUUUGGCCUAAUGCUUCACCUUUAGUGCAGGCCAUUUGAGCCUUAGAACAAAUACCAAUCAUCACUCUUUGGGAAAAAAGAAUCUGCAUUGGCGUGGCCUAUUGGAAUGGGGUUUCUGUCAAGCUCCCCACAUUCUCAUACCCAUUUGGGCAAUUUCUGCACUAUGUCCAUCUGGUUCUCAUUACCUCUCAACCUGCCUGCGUCUGAUCCAGAAAAAGAGCAGGGCAUUUAGAAUGACGGGACUAGCACUGAGUCACUUGGGAAUUCAUAACCCGACAUAUAAUCACUUUUGGAAUGGAGUGCAUUUAUGCCUUCAAAAAGUUGGCCUCAUUUUCUGAAGCUGAAAUCCUUUUGAUCAUAAUUACUUCUGACCUAAAAUUACCCACAGUCACCAUACAAUGCCACGCUGGGACAAAAAAGAAAUACACAUUAUUGCAUUCUUACCCAAAUACUCUUCGUGAUUGCCUGCUUUGCGGCUUUGGGGUCGAAUACAGCUUCUUAUUCACUGACGACUAA
rnacentral:lncRNA from 10 species